rnacentral:rRNA from 1 species
UACGUAGGGGGCAAGCGUUGUCCGGAUUUAUUGGGCGUAAAGAGCGUGUAGGCGGCCUGAAAGGUCAGCUGUGAAAACUCGAGGCUCAACCUCGAGACGUCGGUUGAAACCAUCUGGCUAGAGUCCGGAAGAGGAGUGUGGAAUUCCCGGUGUAGCGGUGAAAUGCGCAGAUAUCUGGAAGAACACCAAAGGCGAAGGCAGUGUCCUGGGUGGUCGCUGACGCUGAGAGGCGAAAGCCAGGGGAGCGAACGGG